rnacentral:lncRNA from 1 species
UCGUAUGAUAGGGGUGAUCCAAAUCCACAACAUUAUCAGAUCGAUAGACUGAAAAGGGACAACGUCAAGUCUUCUACAAUGAUGAUAGACCUCUCAUUAGAGUGCAAAUCACUUCACCCCAAUAUAAACAUAUGAAGCCAUAUGACAUGUAUUAUCACUAUACUGUCUCUCACUAAAAAUACACUAAAUAUAGACUUCAGCUUCAGAGUUACUUUUCAAUUACCCCACCCAAGACAGUUCAAAGUCUGCAAUUGCCUGAAUAAGCAAGGCGAGGCAUAUCAUAUAUGAAAACAUUGAAUUGCAUUCACAUGCGACAUGGUUUCUAUAAUUAGAUGUUGAGUGUUCAUACAAGCCUUAAGGUUGUUCAGUGAAAAAAAUUGAACCAGGAAUAUAAUAACGAAGUGCUUCCAUCAUUUUAUUAUCCCUCGUCUUCACAGAUAACUUAAAUGGUCAGGGGGGAGCAUAAGCAACCACCAAACAUAUAGAGUCGCACGUGAAUAAUAAAAGCCCAUUGAAUCGAUCACAUGAUUUUAGUAUAGGCCAAGUUUGGAAAGAGAAAACCGGUUCUCAAUAACUAGCAAAUCAGAUAUUAUUACAUAAAUAAAAAUAAAAUUUUGAAAACAAAAAUAAUAGAUUUAUAAUAUUUAUUAAAAUUUAAUUAGUCUAAGAUAUAGAAUGAGAUAUCGACUAAUUCAUUAGGUACUAGUGAGAUGUACAUUUAGCUAACACAAAAAAAAAAGUCACACUGUUUCAGUUUCAGGAAUUGUUAAUAAACCCUUAAAAUGGAAACUUGAAAGUGGAAAAUGUUACUCCUACUAAUUUAUUUACAUUAAUGGCAAAUGCAUGGCACACAGCUGGGAAAGAAAACUAUAACAAAACAGCCUCUGAUUCUGUUCCCUCAAUGACUCUCCAAUUAAUCUAGUAUUAUAAUUCAAACCUGGAACUUUGAAAUACUUCAAUACUUUCUGGUGCUUUGCCCCUACCUUGACAACUCAAACUUUGGACUUGCAAAUUGCCAUCAUAGUUCUAUUACCAUUUUUCUCAAAAGGGUCCCCCACCCCAAUCUUUAGUAAUUAAGUGAUUAAGUUCUAUAAUUACCAUUCCCAUAGAACAUGCAUGUGGUUGUAGUCUAAUUCAUUGGACUGUAGUAUACAUGCAUACUACUUAUCUUGGGAUUAUAAGUUUCUAAUUCUAAUAAUACGCAUGAAAUCCUGCUUCAGACUUUACCAUUUUUUGUUUUUUAUCUAUCUGCCUUCCUUCUUAGCUUGGUUCCUCAAUAAAACUUAAUAAAACUGAAUUUGGUUAUCAUUGAAAAUUGAAAGGUAUGUGUUAACAAACAACCAUGACCAAAUAUCUUAAUUCAUUAUAUAUUUAUCUUCCUGAUAACGCCGUCAGGGAAAAGACAAAAGCAGAUAAAUAUAUGUGGCUAGAAUAAUAAUAAUAAUAAUAAUAAUAACAAUAAUAAGUCAGUGAGCAAGAGCAAGGAGCAACUAGUUUUUGAAGUUAUCAUAACUGAAAAUGAACAUAAAACAAAGGCAAAUAAACAACCAUGAGAUUAAUGAACAUAUACUACACUAGUUGCAAUGAUCUCAAAUCUUUUUAUUUACCAAAACACAAUGAAGAAUCAUUUUUUCAGUUUAAAAGCUUUGAAAACCUUAUCCUGCGGUAAUAGAAGGCACAUUUGAACCUUGACAACACGAACCUUCUUACAGACCUUAGCCUUAGCCAUACAACUUUCUUGACACGAACUAUAGAGCCUUUGAUUCUCUCAGUGAGACUCUUCUUUCUACUGAAUUGGUAGCUUCUAAGGAAUAGUUGUCUCUUCUCUAUCAUGGUGUAGUUCUGUUCAGGGUAGAAUCCAAAAGACUCAGUUCUAAAAAAUGGGUUCAUUAUCAAACUUCCCAUGACUCACCCUGCUUCUCAAUCAGACCCAAUGAAGAGAGGAAAAUAAGGAAAUAUAUAUAGAACCAAAUAGUUAGGUACUUGUUGAAGUCAGAUUUUUACAAAAUAGAAAGUGUUUCGUGCAAGAUUGAAGACUGAUAUGUGGAAGAGAAGAAGGGUAGAGGAGAAAAGAUGGGGUCUGAAUUGUAGAAAUUCAAGGCACCUUGUGUUUGCUUUACUUAAAGACUAAG